GGCGCCGCAGCCAGCCUACAGCUGGUGUUCUCUGCUCUGCUUGGUGCGCGCCGCAACGGCACGAGUUUUCCAUGUAGGCGACUCGGCCGUGCGACACAGAAGAGUGCGAACAUAGCAUGAACAACUCUUUCUGUCUGAUGCUCGCUCUUCUUUGUGGAUUUCCUUAAAAAAACAGCAACACAAACAACUUUCAACAACUUUGCUUCUUCUACAACAACAACAACAAGACAAGAACAACAAGAACUAGAACAAGAACUGUUUGCAGCCACAACAAACACACACGCACACACGCACGGGAAAAAAAAUCUGAACGGAAUAUUUACCGAGCAGCAGUUGCGGAGUUGGGCGCAGCGACAGCCGCGAGUGCACUUUUCCAUAACCAGCGGCAGCAGCAGCAGGAGCCACGCCCACAGAGCCAACCGAAAAACAAACAAACAGCAGCCACAGAAAAAAUAAAACAAAAUGGCGGCUUUCAUUGCGAAACAGAUGGUUGGAAACCAAUUAAGUGCCGUUAAAGAUGCUGCAGGCGGAGGUGAUGGUGGCGAUGAUGGCGACGACAAGGAAAAGGCAGAGGAGGAGGAGAGAGAGCGCCUGGAGGCCAUACGCGAGGCCGAGGAGCGGCGCAAGGAGAAGCACCGAAAGAUGGAGGAGGAGCGCGAAAAGAUGAGGCAGGACAUACGCGACAAGUACAACAUCAAGAAAAAGGAGGAAAUUGUCGAGGCAAUGCCACAGGAGGAGCCAAAUCCGUUGAUGCGAAAAAAGAAGACGCCCGAGGAGCUCGCCGCCGAGGCCGAGCAGGAGGAGCUCGACGAUUUUACAAAACUGAAAAAUCAAAUAGAAACGCAAGUAAAUGAGCUAAAAACUCAAAUAGAGGGAAAAUGUGUCAUGCAGUGAUAUGUCAGUCAUCAUAAAAGAUAUAUAAAUAAAUAAAUAAAUAACGAUAAUAAUAUCCAAUUCAAAUAAUAACUGAUCAAACCCAAAACCGAUUAAACGAAACAUUUAUAAAAUGCAAUUGAUUUCAAUCACACUCAACUUCAAUUUGUUGCUAUUAAUAUAAAGAUAUAAAGUUGCAAGCAAACCAAAAAAAAAAAAAAACAAAGAAGAAGAAGAAGAAAAAUAAACAAAUAUUAUGUUCGAAACGUUCUGCAUAAUAUUGGAAAAGCAUAAACAAAUAUUCUAUUUACCAUACUUAUAAAACACGACACAUAAUUCGGCAGCAAUAAAUCAACCAAAGAAUAUAUAAAACGCCGCAAAGAUUGAGGUUAUGUGAAGCAUAAGGAUUAUAUACUAUUAUUAUAUCAUAAUAGCUACAACAAUAAAACGAAAACCAAUAAUACCGCAAAUAGUAUAAUAAUAAUAAAAAGAAAAGGAUAAAGAGACAUAUGUACUAUAUUUGAAAACAGGACGGUGAAAUCCUAUUGAAUUUUAAAGUAGUUAAAGCAUAAACCAAAUUAUGUAUAAACGAAAUAUAGUAAACGCCUUUAAUAAUAUUCAAAUCACUUUUGCUUCGAUGAUAAUGUAAUAUACUCAAAGCCCCAAAAAAAAAAAAGAAAAACGAAAAAAAAAUGCAUAACCGUUGUUUAGUUGAUAGCAUUGCGAAAUUUACGAUAACGAUAACGAGUUCGAAAUCGAAAUCGAAACUAAAUAAAAACUGCGAUUGGUGCGACAGAGACAGAAACAGAAAUUAACGGAGGUGUUGCUGAACCAUGUCGAACCGUCGAAAUACGUUGCUGAAAAUCUCUUUUUUUGGACUUAAAUAACACACACAAACAUACCUAUCUAAUAUACCCGAAAGGAUACUGGAUACCAUGCUCUAUAAUACGAUAAACUAGCCUAUAUAUAUAUAUAUAUAUAUAAACAGCUUCUUCUAUUGUUGAUAUAUUUCCGACACGAAUUCAAGCGAAAUUCCCCCAACAAAAUUGACUGCAGAAAUGGUAAAAAACUCAUCGUUGGUACUCGAAAUGAUUUAACCAAAAGCAAAAGAAUACCAAAAAUUGAAUUCAAAUUACUCAUGAUCGUUUGUUUUAUUAAGCUCAAGAGAACUCUUCCCUAACAGCUGUAACAUUUUGUUUCUUUUCUAUACAAAAUAAAAAACAUAAUACACAACACAACAAUUGAGACAUUCUAAGCUAUUUGAGAUACUUACUGAACAUACUGAUUGAUGCUUCUGAAAUACAUAUGUACUCUCGGUGUUUAAUAUGAUAUACCACUCGUAUCAUCAUCAACAACAACAACAACAACAACAGCACAAGAAAACAACAACAACAACAACCAGUACAAGUACAACAACAACAACAACAACCUACAUCUACUACAGAAGUAACCUUAUAUUUACUAUAUAUAUUAUAAAGAAAAGCCAUUUUUUCAACAGAACCAACUAAAAAUACCAACAAAAUACUAUCAAAAUACCAAAAAAUACCAAAAAAAUACCACACCAUUAUUUCUCAACGUUGUGUAAAUUUUCACUUACUUCUUUUGCAUAGUUCACAGUCACUCACACACACAGACACACACACACACACACACACACACACACAUCAUAUAGUCACAUGCAUUUAAAUAGCCAAGAAAUAUGGUGUUGUAAAUGUUAAAAGUUAUGUACAGUUCCAACAAAAAAAAAAUACCAAAGAAAUAAAUGUACAAUUUACAGAUUACAGUAAAUACCAUAUAGUGAAUAUAGCUAAUAUAUAUAAUAUAUAUAUAUAGAUGAUAUAAUAUAUCACAACAGUAUCAUAAUGAACAAUCAACAUUAAUACAAAACAAUAUUAAACAGAAAACAAAAAAAAAAAAAAACAACAAAUACCGAGAAAUUAUACUAUGUCCCUGCCUGAAUGCCACAGGCUUUUAUUGAACCAAAUACUUUGGGUGUUGCUCAACACUGUUUCCCUUCACACAGGCUUUGAGUGUUGUUCAACACUGCUUCACUUGCAAAAAUACCGAGAAAUUAUACUACUAUGUCUCUUUCUGAACGACACAAACUUUCAUUGAACCAAUCUUUUGCGUGUUGUUCAACACUGUUUCACUUGCAUCUUCUGACUUACAGAAACUACAAUAAAAAACGAAAAAUUAUACUAUCUCCUUUUCUGAACGACACAAACUUUCAUUGAACCAAACUUUUGCGUGUUGUUCAACACUGUUUGACUUAAAACAGGCUUUCACUGUACCAAUCUUUUGCGUGUUGUUCAACACUAUUUCACUUAAAACAGGCUUUCACUGUACCAAUAUUUUGCUUGUUGUUCAACACUAUUUCACUUGCAUCUUCUGAUUAACGGCAACAGUAAAAGAACUAUCUAAUUUCGGGCUGCAUAAAUGCCUCUCAAUCUCUGUCAAUCUAAUAAAGCAAUCCCCUAGUGCCCCCCCCCCCCCCCCCCGCGCGACGCUCCAGACAAGAAAUGUCGGGAACGAUCGAACGAUUGAAUGCCUUACAGUGGCUCCUAUGAAAAGCGCAUAGAUACUAUAUCCGAAGGAAGCUUAAGAUCUUUAACUUCAAACUACUUACUGCAACUACUACGCCUAGAGCCUAGCAUAAUGCUAACUACUAUUCUACUCUAUAUACAUAUAAAUGUAUAUAUAUAUGUACAGAUAUAUAUAUAUUUUCCCCAAAAAGCAACAGAUUUUACUAGUUUUACCGAACCCAAGUCUUAUGCUCUUUCAAAUUCUUAGCUCUUAAAUCUAAACGAGAAAAUGCUUUCUACUUAACAUACUUACAUAUAGCGAAAUGUUUAACUAGAUUCUAUAAAGGAAAUAUCUCUAUUGCGUUCUUUCAAAAACAUAUAUAUAUGAUAUUGAAGUUCACUUUAAUUGUUUACGAAAAAACCAAAAAAAAAAAAAACAAAAAAACAAAAACGAAUCAAGCAUUCAAAAAAAAACAAAAAAAAACUUAUACAAAAAAAAAUAUAUAUAUAUAUACAAGAACAAAAAAAAAACAGAAACAUAUUAUUCAAUCAUAACGAAAGAAUUUUAACGUAAAUCAUAAAAAAUGUUAAAGAAAAACAAACAAAUGUUAAAAAAAAAAUGGUUCAGAUGAAUUUUUUAUUGUUUUGACGUUUAAUAUUACAUAUAUAUAUAUAUAUAUAUAGUUAUGAUAAUGUAUGUAUAUGUAUAUCGGAAAGUUUAUAGCAAGCAGAUUAUUAUUGAAUAUUAUUAAAUAUGCAUAUGCAUGCCUAUAUAUACAUACAUAUACACACAUGAAAUUAUAUAUGUGUGUAUAGCUAUGCAUAUGUGUAACCAAAUAGGGAAAUGAAUUUAAACAAAACAUCAAACCAAAUAUGAGAAUAAUGUUGAAAAUUAUAACAUUCAAGUCAUUAUUAGAUGUGAAAGCAGUUCUAUAUACACAGCAAAACCAAGAAAACAAAAAACAAAAACGAAAAUGAAAAACAAAAUAAAAAAAAAAAACAUAAGGAAAA